AGAGUUUGAUUAUGGCUCAGAGUGAACGCUGGCGGCGUGCUUAACACAUGCAAGUCGAACGGUAACAGCAGAGCUUGCUCUGGCUGACGAGUGGCGCACGGGUGAGUAAUAUAUAGUUAAUGUGCCCCAAAGACUAGGAUAGCCACUGGAAACGGUGAUUAAUACUGGAUAAGCCUCUAUGACAUAAGUCAGCGAGGAAAACGUUUUUUCGCUUUGGGAUCAGACUAUAUCCUAUCAGGUAGUUGGUGAGGUAAGAGCUCACCAAGCCAAUGACGGGUAGCGGGUUUGAGAGGAUGAUCCGCCACACUGGUACUGAGACACGGACCAGACUCCUACGGGAGGCAGCAGUGAGGAAUAUUGCACAAUGGGGGGAACCCUGAUGCAGCAACGCCGCGUGGAGGAUGACGCAUUUCGGUGUGUAAACUCCUUUUAUAUGUCAAGAAAAUGACGGUAGCAUAUGAAUAAGCACCGGCUAACUCCGUGCCAGCGGCCGCGGUAAUACGGAGGGUGCAAGUGUUACUCGGAAUCACUGGGCGUAAAGGACGCGUAGGCGGGUUAUCAAGUCUGAUGUGAAAUCCUACAGCUUAACUGUAGAACUGCAUUGGAAACUGGUAACCUAGAGUAUGGGA
rnacentral:rRNA from 1 species